ensembl:lncRNA
AACCUGCAUCGUGGUGCUUCUGGACAAGCCGCCUAAAAGGGAUCUUUAAUAGACCGUCUGUAUGCGGCUUUUGCCACUAUUAGUUUGGGUUUGACUUUAUUCCUUCCCCCUCCUAAAACCAUAGGAAGGGACUUGAACUUUUCAUGGAGAGGCCUUUGUGAUGAGGUAGAAAUUGAGAAAUGUUGGCCAUGAUGAAGUUUGUUUCCUUGCUUCCUGUUUCCUUACAUGUGGAGAAUAAGUGUCUGUGCCCCAGCAGCACCCAGACUAGCAAAAGAAAAGGAUGCGACUCAACAAAAUCCAUCCAGCAAAUACAGUUCUUUCCAAACACAUAUGGCAAAACAAACGAGUGACCGUAACAGUCAGAUGAUGGGUUCCAGCCCCAGAUGUGCCCUUAUGCUUAAGAUGUAUUGUAAGAAGGAGAAGCAUAGAUGUGGAUGUGAAGGAUUGGUGAAUAAAAAGAAUGUGGCUUGAAUAUACGGUAGCUUGCCCAAUAAAAUCAGUAUAUUUAUAUCUUUGAAUGUAUUUGUUUCAUUUAGUUUGACAAAGUUAGGACGAUGUUGUCUGACGCAUACAGAGUGAUCCGAGUCUCACCAUUCAUCCAACCCACACUGGGUGACAUUUACCUUGUUGACUGAACACUGGCAGCAGAUUGGUACUCAGGCCCGACUGAUACCCAAAGCCCAGAUAUCAAUAUUACUAUCAGGGGUGAAUAAGUCAGAUUAAUGCAUCUUAAUGAAAUUAAAAACAUGAACAUUGCAGAGACUGAAAGCAAAACCAACUGAGAGAAGACCAACAGCUGCUCGCUGGAGCUACAAGGUUUCCAUCCUCAUUUGUUUUCUCCACGUACGGAUCACAGGCCGAAGACAGCCGCCAAUCAUCCGAGGCGUGAUGAUGGGCAGCGGCUCUGACACACAGAGCGGAUGCCCCGCCACUGAAACCAAUUCAUCUCCCAUCAGCUGCUCAUAAACAACCCGUCAAUAUCCUCCCUGAGAUCCUCCGUGAGCCGAGUGUGCUCACAAUGUUGUUGGGGAGUCAUUUAUCGACGCGCACACCAAUCAAAUAUUUAUUAUGGAGGAGCUCUUGGUUUGGAAACAUGAUCAAUCGUUCUGCCCUCCGGUGUACAAAUUACAGCGGUUAAGAGUGGAAUCGUACCGAUUCUUGUUCAAGACGUCAUAACACAAGAACAUAUUGAUCUCGCCCUCGAAGCGUGGGGUGAAACCCGUGUGAACACAGACAAGGAAUAUGGAGAUCAUGGAAAUCGUGAAAAUAUUGAAGGAGCUUUAAAAAACAAAUAUUUAACACAAAGACAGUAUCACUAAGCGUCCUAGUUGUCAUAUAUUAUGAUUGUGCCCAGUCCUCUUUUUAUAUUUAGCAAAACUAACGAAGCACGUGGUCCUCAAUCUCAAGCUCUACGAAUAUGGGCCAGAGAUCAAGAGAGCCCCUAAACGGGGGCUGCUUCUCAGCAUAUAUACAUGAACCCUGAAAGGCAACACGGACGCUUUUAAUCUCGAAGCCGUUCUUUUUUCAUGUGUUCUCCAGUGGGAAUAAUAAGGAGGGAAAACAAUUUAGAUGAGACCAUGAUCUCCAGAAUUCUCCCUCUCACUCAGUUUCUUACUCUGAGAGUCAGGAAAGUGCUGUAUAUCAAUAUUUGUGGCUCAGGGCAGAUCUGACCCAGGUGUCUCUGGUGAAGCCCGGUUUAUGGGAUCGAAUCCCCGAUCUAACGGGUCAGGUGAACUGCUCGAUCGGCUCUCUAAAGCAGAACACUGUUGGGUUCAGACGUGCAGGCCAGCUGAGGAGGAGCCGGUGGAAUCACAGCCUCGCUGCUCUUAACUAAUCGAAGCCAACCCCCCCCCCACCUUCCUCCCCCCUUCCUCCCCCCCGCUCUCCUCCCCACCAACGCCAACAGACUCCGAGCUCUUUCGGGGCUAAACACACACAUAGUGGCGUUUUUGAUCUCCUUCUCACUCGGCACUUAACAUCGACUUCCCCUCGUAUCUUCCUUAAACGCCGACGCCGAGUGCUUUGUCCCACGUUUAGGUAUGCGUAGAUACUUUCUCAGGAUUAGAGGGAAGUUAGCGGGUUAAAGGCUCUGAUGUUGAGAUGUGCUGCUGCUGUCAGGAGGCUCGCAGGAGAAGAUAAGUGGACGACUUAAAACUGCUUGUAGGGAUUAAGAUCAGCGACGGCAGAGUAAAGUUUGGAACUUUAAGUCACAGUUGUGAAGUAAAGCCAUUGAGCACAAAGUAGGUAGUAGUUUUUUUAUGUGCCAGAAGUACAAAGUCAGUGUUCUCUCUUAUUACCCAAUGACCCGAUUCAUCAAAACCUGCAGCUCUCAGUGUUUAAAUAUCCUCGUAUUAGCUCAAACACUUUCUCAUUCUAACAUUUCUUAAUUAUUCUAUUCUAUUCUGAUAUAAUAAUAUGAUGGGUAAUAGCUAUUAUUAUUCUAAAUGAGUUGUCAUGGUACGAUAGUCAGACCACUGAAAGGUUCAGGAGGUUUUUUAUCAUGUUCUGUUAUAAUAAACAGAGCAGGGGUUGUUAUCUUAAUUUCCCUCUCGGUGGUUGUCUGUGCUUUAGAAAUGUAAAGUUUGAUACGGACUUGAUUUUUGGGUCGGUUGGAGUUCGGUUUACAUCACGUUUACGGUGUUCGUGUGUCAAUCAGGGUCCUCACAGGGAUAGAAAUAAACAUGUGUGUGUCCUACAGAGGACAGAUGGGUUCUCCCCCUCCCCGUUACGCACACACACACACACACACACACACACAGAGGCAUGUGGUGAUGAGCAGAGAGAGGGGUCAGAGGUCACAACCCCAGAGGGUCAGAGGACACGUGUGGAGGUGGGACGGCCGUGUGUGUGGGUUCGACACUCAUCUUCAUGAGCUUACUAAGACACACACACACACACACACACACACACACACACACAUUCAUGCAUUUCAGAUCAACUACUCUUUUAAAGUCAGUUCAUUUGUAAAGUCGAGGAUUUUAGGUUUAUUUUGAAAGGGUGAGACUAACGAUGGCACUUUUAACGGUUUCUGUCCUUCCUACAUGGCCGACAGUACAGAGAGCAAACAGCUACUUGUCCAGAUGGAACAAGUGAAACUUCUGCACGUGAGAAAUGUAAGAACAGGCGCAGUCGAUUGAGCUUUUAUUUGGUUUCCUGGUGAUAACUAAUCAGGUCAUUCCAUAGUCGGUGGAGAGAUUUUUUUAAAAGUGCCUCGGCUCCUUUUUGGAGGUUUGGGCUUCGCUCAAUGAAGAAAAGCCUUCACGCCGACUGAUGAAAGGAAUUAAAAGAGGAAAAGAACGCAGCCUAAAUGAGCUGAAUACGUAAUUUUUGAUCAAUAUUUAAUACAACAAAGUUUGCUCUUUGAGGCUCUUAUACCUUUCAUCACGAGAAGAGAGGAGUUCAUUACUGUGCGUGGAAAGAACACUGCAAGAAGUGUCGAGCUACAGACAGACGUUGUGAUCAUUAGUGCAGCUUAUACUUGAACUUGUUGUUUUGUGUAAUAAAGUGAGAAAUCCAUGUGUGACGAGAUACCGCUAACAACACCACAACACCGGAAGUUAAUCCUGCGAGACCCACUCAUAGUACGGUAACACUACAGUAUCUACAUCCCCCUUCUUUAGGUCCUGAAGAGGAGAAAAUAGAAUCACACACUUCUGCACUAACAGCACUUUUAUAAUAGAAAUGUAGUUAUCAUCUGGGUCACUUAAAAGUCUGUAAAGUGGCCGAUGACUAAUUGCAUUGUCAACACAAUAAAACCUUAUGCAGAUCACAAAGUAUUAUUUCUGACAUUUUGGAUUCAAUAAACUAAGCUAUCUCAGUUGUGUGUGUGUUUUCUCUUUGGCCUAGAGGCUUUGGCAGACCUAGUGCGAUACAUGGAACUGGGCUUUUGGUCUGCGGUUCCACGCCUUGCUGGGAUGCACUGGUGGGAGGCUUUUCUGGACUUAGUUGCCUGUGACACUGCUCUGCUGGUGUUUGUUCAGUUCUUUCAGUCCCUUGUGGUUUGUCCAUGUCAGGGUCAAGUGUGUAAGCUGUAGUGUUCACUGGCAGGAUGUGGCGUCGAUUACGCCUGUAUUCCUUCCCUUCAGAAUCUACCACAUAUGAGCGUGGCUCAUCACACCUUUGCUUCACAAUUCCCACUUUAUCAUUUCCCCUUUAUGUUGAAAGUCACCUGGUUUGGUUUCAGGGGGCGUAGUGGUUUGCUGGUCUUGUCGUAGUUGUUUUUGUGUCUGCUGCUUCUUUGUUAAUUGUGCUUUAAUGCUGGUUGGGGUUCUUGAAGCUGGUUUUAGCAGUUGUUUGCAGAUGGGCAGAAUGGUUUGAGUGUGACGGGACACUAGCCUCUGUGCAGGUGAGCCAAAGAUGUUGUCUCGCGGCAUGUUUUGUAAGCCAAGCAGAUUCAGGUAGAAGUCUGUCCCGUGUCUGUGGUCUGUUUCUUUGCUCUCCUUUCUCUCACUGAGUCCAUUACACUGUGGAUACUCUGAACUGCUCGUCACAUGCCGGAAAUCCCAAAAUCGGGCAAAGUCAUGGAAAGCCUGGCUGGUAUACUGGGUGCCAUUGUCGGAGUACAGCUUCUGUGGUAUGCCGUGGAUUGAGAACUGACGCUUUAGCUUAUUGAUGACAGUGGAUGAUGACUGGUCAAUUUCAAACCAGCCAGAGUAUGAAUGAACAAGUACCAGGUCAUGGUGAUUCUUCUAUUCCAAUAUGUGAGAGACCAGGGCAGGUCUGGGACUUUUUCUGUUGACAUAAUGGCAGCCUGAAUGUCCUCAUAAGAUGCCCUACGACGUCAUCAUGUUCCUUCAUACGCCCACUGACAUCAUCAUGUUCCUUCAUUCGUCCAACGACGUCAUCACGUUCCUUCAUACGUCCUACGACAUCAUCACGUUCCUUCAUACGCCCACUGACGUCAUCACGUUCCUUCAUACGUCCUAAGACGUCAUUACGUUCCUUCAUACGCCCACUGACGUCAUCACGUUCCUUCAUACGUCCUAAGACGUCAUUACGUUCCUUCAUACGCCCACUGACGUCAUCACGUUCUUUCAUACGUCCUAAGACGUCAUUACGUUCCUUCAUACGCCCACUGACGUCUUCACGUUCCUUCAUACGUCCUAAGACGUCAUCACGUUCCUUCAUACGCCCACUGACGUCAUCACGUUCCUUCAUACUUCCUAAGACGUCAUCACGUUCCUUCAUACUUCCUAAGACGUCAUCACGUUCCUUCAUACUUCCUAUGACGUCAUUACGUUCCUUCAUAUGCCCACUGACGUCAUCACGUUCCUUCAUACGCCCUAAGACGUCAUCACGUUCCUUCAUAUGCCCACUGACGUCAUCACGUUCCUUCAUACGCCCUAAGACGUCAUCACGUUCCUUCAUACGCCCUACAACAUCAUCACAAAGCUUCCUUUUCUAUCACAGAAUAGUUCAACUGAUACUUUCUGGAGAACAAACUCACAGUCCUGUCCCUCCCCAACUCAUCCUCUUCUAUCAACACCCCACAUGCUCACCCACGUAACAGGCUCAACCUGCAGUUUAAAAUUGCUACCCAAGCGUGGUGCCACGAGAACCUCUGCUUUCCAGCCUCAAAAGCACUGUGACAAACAGCGGACCACACAAAUCUAACCUUACCCUUUAGCAGGUCCGUCAAUGGAGCCACCACAAUUGUAAAUACUGAAAGCCCUAUAAUAACCCACUAACCCCAGACCUGUCCUCAGUUCCUUUCCUGGAGCUGGCGUUGGAUACUGGUCGAUUGACUGCACCUUUGCUCUCAGAGGGCGAACCCCUCCUUGACCUACCUAAACAGCGUGUUUACCGGUAAACUGAGUAAACUACUACCCCAUCAAAAUACACCGCACAUCCGUCCAGACCACGGACAACCGUAUUUAUCAGCCAUUGGAACGCAGCAGGUGUAUUUCUCAACCCGAAAGGCAUAACAGAGUAAGAAUACAGACCAGUUGGCGUAAUAAAUGCUGCAUCUCAAGGGCCCUUUGAGACAACGGGACCUGCCAGUAACCCUUCAAAGGGUCAAAUUUGUUGAUGUACUUUGCAACCCCGACUGUUCAAUGCAGUCCUCCAUACAUGGUAGGGGAUAGCAAUCCGGUUUAGUGACACUGUUGACCUUCCUGAAAUCUGAACAAAACCGAGGGGUAUUGUCAGACUUUGUUACGAGUAAACAAAGUGAAGCCCAGCUAGAGGAGGACGGUUCAGCAAUGCCGUUCUUCAACAUAUAUUAUCUCAUAUUAUCUCAGCAUCGCUUUUCCAGACUGACUCGAUAAAAUCUUUGUUUUAUCGGCUUUGCAUCCACUACGUCGAUAUCCCACCCACUUUCUAUCUAAUAUGUUGAAUGAAGUACCCUUGCACCCGAUUCUACACCUCAUCAGCUGAAAGAACAGACUGGAAGAACUCACCCAGUGCACACAGUCAGCUUUUUGCUCACUCACCAACUCACUGUGUGGGACCGACAAAGGAUUGUUCAACAGAGAGCAUUUAUUGAAUUUCUCAGGGUCCUUUAUUUUUGUAUUCUCCAAGUCCAACUCUGCCUCUGCCCUGUGUCUGGCCGCCCUCAUGACUUGAGUCACCACGCAAAUCUUCAAAACAUCAUAAUACCGCCUCUCGUUAUCCUGGCCCAUAUGCAGGGGCACCGUGACACGUACCGUUGACCUGGAUCAUCAGACACGCCCAGACACGUUCCCCAUCCAAAUCAUUACCCAGUAUCAGCGUUAUGCCGUCAACUGGGACAAAGGGAUACUUUGAUUCAGAGAGCGACGCCUGGGGAGUAACCUCAGCCAGGUGAAUUGGCACAAGUGAUGGUUUUGGAGGUAUUAAAAUGUCGUACAAAUUUGCCUUUAAAAUAGCUUUUACGUUUUCCUUUAAUCUUUUAUCUCCUACCACAUAGUGAUCAGCUAUCCUCGAUAACUGUACUUUCGUACAGAGAUCUAAAAAUGCCUCCACUUCCGCCAUAACACAAAUAAUCGGUGGGCAACCACAAAAUAAGAAAACAAACCAGAAACAAAAAGCCUGUACAGUACCGACCCUAUUAAAGUCAGAACAGGGCAUCGGCGCACCCUCGCAAAUUGAGCAUCCCCGCUAACUUCCUAUCCAACUUUAGGUAACUCAACCUGGUCUUCAAGGGCUACUAAUGGCGGGUACUUACGCACCGAAACCCGAUAGUCCAACAAAGCGACCAGCAAGCUGGCAACAACUGCUCACAACCACUUUUACCCCGGACAUAUACGUACACAUACAUAUACACAAACGAAUCCCCAAAAUGGAAAAUGUGCUUUUCUUACCAAAGUCAACUUGCCAGCUACGCAACCACCAGGUCAGCACUCACCUUGAUUUGUCCUGCGUCCAUGUUGACAAUAGACAACUUAAAACCCCAAAAUCUGAGGCCCUUAGCCAUACAAAACCACUAGCCCUCAACAAAAAAGUAUGAGAAAACUUCUCACUAUGGUUUCACCACAAGCACACAACAAUUCCAAUACUUGACAAGAUAACGCAGGGAACGCACUGCCAUUACCAUCCAUCCAACUUACAUCUAAUUAAAAAAAUCACAAUAUAUAAUGGACAAUGUAAAUUCAAACAUAUAGACCGAGUAUGUCGAAAAUAAUUGGACGAGCCCUCAAUUUGUUACAGUCUGAGUCCUAGACCGCAAAAAAUGACAGAUGAUUAAAGCAAUUAAAGGUUUUUAACACAAAAAGGUUUAUUCCAUAAAUAUAAACCUUGCUUUACUUUACUUAUACAAAAACGAAGGUACUAUAAUUCAUGUAUAAUCCACGUGAGCCAUGACGUACAGGGCUGCCCCUAAGGAAUUUUGUAUGAACUCCACAAAAGGAAGAAGGUGAUGGUGGGUGAGCAAAUCAAACAAACACAGGACUUCCACAAAGGAGACCUCAGCACAUGUCCCGCCUGAAACAUAAAGACACCGUUGGACAUUCAUAGAGGAAUGCUUCAUUUACAAAUCAAACAAACCAACGUCUGAGAAGAUGUCACAUGCGAGUGAUUUCAGCUGUCAGUACGUUGGUGCAGUUUGGGUUUCAGUCAACAGAAAUUCACGAGCCUCCUCCUCACUUCUUCCAGUGUAUUCAGACGAUGUCAACGUAGCGGCGCCGCUUGCCUCUGAUCUCCUCGCCUCGUUAAAACACCAAACACACAUCUCUGCCGCUCCGAUUCCCAGAAACCCGUGCGUCUUAGCAGCCGUUAGUAACCUUAAGCCGGCCUUAAGCUGCGGCGAGGCCCGACGCCUCAUUGAUAAUUGAAAAGUAAAGCGGCGGUGAUUAAUUUUUGACAGUGUUGCGGUUUUAACGACGACGGCCCCUCGUCGAACCGCCGGCUCCGGACUCCUGCUGUUGAUGUGAGGAUCCCGCAGAAUCAAAGCGGCGGCCGGGCUCUCGAGGGUUUCCAUCCCUCCUUUCACUCGGCCAGGCUUUAAUGCCCACCUGAGGGACGGGUGGGGGGGGGGGGCAAGGUUCUCUCACUCCAGGUCGAUACUUUCUCUCUCCAGCUGAGCGGAAUCACAGCCUCGCUGCUCUUAACUAAUCGAAGCCAACCCCCCCUUCCUCCCCCCCGCUCUCCUCCCCACCAACGCCAACAGACUCCGAGCUCUUUCGGGGCUAAACACACACAUUGUGGCGUUUUUGAUCUCCUUCUCACUCGGCACUUAACAUCGACUUCCCCUCGUAUCUUCCUUAAACGCCGACGCCGAGUGCUUUGUCCCACGUUUAAGUAUGCGUAGAUACUUUCUCAGGAUUAGAGGGAAGUUAGCGGGUUAAAGGCUCUGAUGUUGAGAUGUGCUGCUGCUGUCAGGAGGCUCGCAGGAGAAGAUAAGUGGACGACUUAAAACUGCUUGUAGGGAUUAAGAUCAGCGACGGCAGAGUAAAGUUUUGAAAUCCCCAAAAACGUAAGAAUUACUCCGGCAAAGUACUUGCUCAGUGUUUGAGAGUAACGUGUUUUUUUAAUAAUUUCCUUCCUCACAAAGUCCGUAUUUACCUGUAAAUACGAAUGUCAGACUUCAACCCAGGAGGCCGCUGUUCUUCUUCUGCUCUUACCAGGGUUUAAACAUUCAUCUAGUAACUAGUUAGGUGAACUUUUGGCAGAGCCUUGCAGCUGUCUCUCAGUCGUAUCAAACUGCCCCCCCCUCCCACACUCAUCCAUCCAGCUGUGAGAUCAUAUCGAUUAGAAACAACCGCAGCUCUUUUGAUAAUCUUUUCAUCUUGGGAGAAGGUAAAAACACACACACACCUGCAGCUGAUUCGCAGGAACUUUCGGGAACGUCAAUAAUAGAUAAAUACACAACACAACUUUUCUGAUCUCAACAAAACUUUCACAUCCAGAGCGACUUAAACAAACAGCCGUUGGAUUCCAAAAUGUUUGAGAAAAACACCUCUGACGGGUUCGACUCCUGGGAAGGAAAAUAGAUCAUAAAAAUCCUUGAAACUUAAAAAGGCAAGUAUCGAGAAAACAUUUUUUUUA